UGACCUCUCAUUUAUCCACCAGAGCGUGAAAUGGGAGGAUUCCCCGGAUGAUCAAAAUAAAGUUGUGGAGAAUAUGAAGGAUGAAACAGAGACACAUGAGAACAACAAGAACAGGACUGGAGGCAAGGCUAAACGUAAGUCCAGUGGCAGUGCCAAGAAGACUUCCGUGGAGGAGGACAGCAGCAUUGAGUCUUCUCAGACACCCGGGUGUGGUUUCCGGGAAAGGGGAUCUAUCAUUGAGCAGCUGGAGAAGGAGGCUCAGAGGACUCUAAUGCCUUCUCUCAAGAUUGGGACAUGCUGUGCCCCAAUCCUCCUCUCCUUCCUGAGGAGUCUAACUGAUGAGCAAGUCCCAUGUCUUUCUCCAACCUCACAUACAACAACUCUGAAUUUAUAGUCAUAGUGCACCUUCUAACCACAAAUGCGAUUUCAAACACUACACCUAACCCUAAC
rnacentral:lncRNA from 1 species